AUGUGGUUUAUGCAUAUUACACAAGUCAGAAAUAUGCAGAUAUGGAGGAUACAGGACUCUUCUCUACCCCAGACCACACACAGGAGUCUGCAAAAUAGAAAGAGGCUGUCUGGGAAGGAUGAUGAGCAUAACUGGUGGCUGAAGAAUACUUGUGUCCUAUUUGUGUAUGGAUUUCCUCUGCAAGGUGCUAGUACCACCAUUAUAGGAAGUAGACUGAAAUAAAGAACUAUUAAAUCAGCUCCCACUUAUCUUGUGAGCUCUGCCAAGCUUUGUCUAAAGCACAGAAGGAAGGAGAGCCAGAGGAAGGUUUUUUCCCGCUGAGCGGAUUUUCUCAAGGUCUAAACACUUCAGUUUAAAAGCAAUA
rnacentral:lncRNA from 1 species